rnacentral:rRNA from 1 species
GACGAACUGUCCAACCGUUGUUCGGAAUCACUGGGCUUAAAGGGCGCGUAGGCGGUCGAUCAAGUCAGGGGUGAAAUCCUGCAGCUUAACUGUAGAAGUGCCUCUGAUACUGAUCGUCUUGAGGGAGGUAGGGGUGUGCGGAACUUCCAGUGGAGCGGUGAAAUGCGUUGAUAUUGGAAGGAACACCGGAGGCGAAAGCGGUGUACUGGGGCUGGUCUGACGCUGAGGCACGAAAGCCAGGGGAGCGAACGGG